rnacentral:hammerhead_ribozyme from 4 species
GCACUGCUGAUGAGUCCCAUAAUAGGACGAAACGGCCGUCCAGUGC